AGCAAACAAACAGGUUUCUCAUAGGGCUCUGUUCAAAAGUAGUGAGAUGCACUGUGUAAUGUUUGAGUUUACAGAGUUGGGGGGAGCGCGACCCAUGGACUCUUCCUCAGGUGAAUGUGGGGAUGUUAAAAGAGAGUCACUUGGAAAUGGCAACCUCUCUCCUUCUCUGGACGUAUAUUUCAAGAUAUAGACUAGACCAGAAAGAGGAGUGUGUGUGGGAGUGUGUCAGCAAGCAUCUCUCCCCUGCGGCUAAGCUAAGAGCUCCUGCACAGAGCAGACCAGACUGCUUUAAACAGGCUCUUAACAGGCAUCUCGUAGAUGGCUCUGCCUCCUGCCUCCACCCCAAAGGACACCUUCCCUCCGCCCACACAUUUCCCCAUUGUGCCUGAAAAAAAAAAGUAAAACUGUGGAAAAAUUUCAAAAUGUCUUUCUCUCCUCAAUUCCAGUGAUAUAAUGCUUACCAAUGGUCUGAUGGAUCGGUCUCUCUCUCUCUCUCUCUCUCUCCCUCUGUACUCACUCCCCCGUCUCUUCCUCUCUCUCUCUCUCUUCCUCCCUCUCAAUUCAAUUCAAUUCAAUUCAAGGGCUUUAUUGGCAUGGGAAACAUG